AAAAAUAAAAGAGGGGACAAAAUGAUUUUUCCCAUUGAAGAAGGACUUACCUGAAGGAGUCGAGGCCUUGUGUUGAAAUGAUUUGAUUGUAGAUUUCGGAUGAUGAUCUCCUUCAUCAAUUGUGGCUUAUGCGAUGAGAUUGUAGAGAAUAAUAAUCAGGGGAAAUGAAAAGAGGAAGAAGAAAGUAGUGAUUGGAUGGUGGCUCCUUCGGUCAUACGUUCAGGACUUAUAUGACACUGGGAGUGUGAGGAGAAGAGGUGUCGAGGCAUUCUACGGAGUCAGUCACAUUGGCCGAAACCAAAACUGAGUACGUCAAGCAGACUCCAUACUAUGAUCAUCCGAGUUACAACACCAUGUAAGAGAUGUACACCAAAAGUUGUGGGCUCGACAUUGUAUUCAUCUCAUGGGGACAUGAUGAUUACAUUUACCUUAUUCUGAAGGAGAGUCAAACUACAUUACCAUCACCCGGUCUGUUCAUCAUUCAAUACCAUUCUACGCUCUUUGCAAAUCAGAAGAAUACAAGCAUUUGAUGAAAAAUGAAGACAGAGAGAACAUGAAGUGGCUGAAAGUGUUCAACAAGUGCGAUCUCUACAGCAAACGCAAAAUUCGUUCAAAACAUGUGUCAAUCUGAAGGCAACAACGACUGUCAAAUGAUGUUUUUGGAAUUGGCUGUCAAAUGGUGGGGUUUCUGUAGACGACAACUUAUGGUCACACCGUUGCUGGUCUUCUAACAAACAAGAAUGUGAAAUCUGAGCGUCAAGAUGUUAAUCCAUGAUAAGUUACAAACUUGUUUCAGCCGUUCUGUGCUGUGCCAUUCUUAACUGGUUUUUGCACCAGCAACAAUGAAGAGAGUUUCACGAGUAUGACUUACGGUUCUCAUGCAAUGGCCUCUAUCUUAUUGAUAAUGAAAUAAGUUGUUAAAGGUCUGUAGGUUGCUGCAUGUCAGUUUUGAGAGAAAUUGGAUUUGGAAUUGAGAGGGCCCCAAAUAUAAAUACACUUACAUACUUUGUUACAUAGACUGGUUGUGUAACGACUAGUGAGUCUGUAAGCUUUAAACCCCAAUUCUUGAAAGUAAGUGACAUUUGACAA